AAUGAACGUUGGCGGCGUGGAUUAGGCAUGCAAGUCGAGCGAGAACCCGCAAGGGGGACAGCGGCGAACGGGGUAGGACAACGUAGGUAACGUACCCUCGGGGCGAGGACAGCCACGGGAAACUGUGGGUAAUACUCGAUAAUGUUCCCAAUCGUGAUGGAAGGGGAACCAAUGGGUGUGAUUCCACCUGAGGAGCGGCUUACGCAGUAUCAGCUUGUUGGUGAGGUAACGGCUCACCAAGGCUAUGACGCUUAGGGGAUGUGAGAGCAUGAUCCCCACCACUGGCACUGAGACACUGGCCAGACACCUACGGGUGGCAG
rnacentral:rRNA from 1 species